ensembl:lncRNA
GGAGGAUGCUGUGCUCUGCAGGAGGAGCUGCCAAACCCGGCUCUGCUGGAGCAGGCUCCAGUUUUACAUCCGAAGUUGGCUCAGGCUGCUUCCAGCCCUGCGCUCAGCACUGCAGGAAGGAAGCUUUCAGGGCAUCCUCCACUGCUCUUCCAAGAGAUUCACCAAGGGGAGCCUACCCGCUGCUAGCGCUUGGGGCUGCUCAUCAUUAACCCUUGGGUGCUUCAGAUCAGGUCCUGAAAGCCCUCUAAAAACACCAUUUGCAACCUCAAGCCGUUUCCCUCUAUCCUGACCUGGGUUUAUUAUCGGGAGACAGAUAGAUUUUUCCUUCUUUCUCCCCAUCCAUUUAUUUCAACCAAUAAGACGAUCCAUCACGGCGAGCUGGAACCGACCUACGAUCCGGGGAUAUUCUUAGAUACUCAGCAUGUCAGGAAACGGCUCACAGCCCCACUUGAUGCAAAUAUUUGGACGAGCGAGAGGUAGGAAGGAUUGUCCAAAUGUUUACUGAAGGCUGUUGAUAGCCCAAGGAUUUAUAACUGGCGCAUAAUGCCUGCCCCCACACAGCUCCUCUAGCAGGUGCAUCCAGUUUCAGCAUGACACAUGGUAUGUGCGUGCUCUGGGAACGGGGAUGCAGGAGAAAGUGCUUUCACAGGUCUCGCCUCCCUCUUCCCAUCUUCAUUAAGGUUUGGAGAGGCAAGGCAGGAGCUCAGGAUCAGCUCUGGUGAUAGAGAUCCCCAGCAGCAAUUUACACCUGAAGGCAAAACUUAAGCAUCGAGCCCGUUUGGUUGGAAUUUCCCAAGUGAAACCAAGGCUCUGAAUUAUUUAGGCCCAUUGUCACACUCCUUCAGUGCUGAGAUGGAGAAAUUCACAUCAUUCUAGCUAUUCCCCUUUCCAUUUCACUUCCUAACUCACACCACCAGGGUUUGAUCUCUUCUUCCCCACAGUAAUCCCUAAUUACUGUUGGGGGGACAUCACUGCCAACUGAUUGGGUUUAACCUUUUCUGGUGUCCAAGGAGGAGCAGUUUUUUGGUGGCUUUGAGGACCCCAAUGGAAAUGCCCCAGCACCCACUGCCAGACAGCCCCUACACCACUGACAGAGAACAGCAUGCUCAGAGCAGAGCACGUUGGCCAACUAGAGUUGGAGAUACACUCAAGGAAAGCUUUAGUACCUUGCCCAAGGCCAACGAGCAAUGGCAUUCAAUGGCAGAAAGAAGUCAGUUUGCUGAUACCCUGUCCUGCAUAACCCGUCGCCUAGAUGCCCUCAGGUUGCAGGGAGACAUCAGAUGGCUCCAACACAACCUCCUGCUCAAAGCAGAUCCAUGGCUCAUGCAAGAUCAGUCCACUAUAGCUUUGUGUAGCUGAGCCUUGAAAACCUCCAAGGACAAAGCCCAGCAGCCAUGCAUAUGGAUAGUUCAGGCAGCAGAGGAGCUGUUGGUGCCCUUGUGCCCAUCCAACCAGAGUUUGCUGACUGCUCAGGCAGGAAUACAAUGGCCCUAUUGUUUUGCUAAGGGAAGAUUUCUUUGUUGCAUGCUGCCGUGUAAACUGUAUGUUUUCUAUCUGUUACCUGAUUCGUUUCGAUGGAAUCCCUUAGAUAGGCUUAAGGCAAUCUGCUGUCCUGCACUGGAGCAAUGGGAGAAACUCUGGGAGGCUGAGGACCUGGCCAUUUGUGUUACCUCUAUUUGGCUUGCUUGGAAAGAAGGAAGAGAAUUUGGUGUUCUUCAUGGGAGCAGAAAUUGAGUAAUAAAAUAGACGGGGAAAAAUGUAGUAAGUGCUCAAAUUCCAAAGUCAUCUGCUGUGCUCGAUGAAGGUUUUCUUUAUAUAUCAAAAGAAUUCGGUCCUGGUUUUGGUGUCACAUUCUCAGCAUGACCUUAAAAAUGUAGCUGUAACUCAGACUAAUCCGGACUUCUCUCUCCUUAAACCUAUUGCUCAACAAACACCCAACAGUGUGGAAAUGUGUUUCCUAGAUGAGAAUCUUGAGCCAUCAAUGGGCCCCAAGCCAGAGGGAUUCUGCAAAUGCACAUGGUGGUCAUGUUGUGCACAGCCCAAAGCCUUCUUCACAGCUGUGCCAACCAUGCUUCCGUACCAAUCUCUCCAAUUUCUCUUCGUGUUAGCAGUGGGAUUAUCUCCCUGGACUUGUUGGGUUGUGGUAUGGGGAUAGUCUCCCUAUAGAUCUCCUUCCACAGGUGCUUCUCUCCCCAGACCCUUUGUGUAGAUAUAGUAAAGCAGGGGUUUAAAAGAUUGGUAAAAGGAUUGGAUUUAAGGCGUUGCAGCCCAAAAAUACAAUCCUAAAACCUGAAUUUGCCUGUCAUCUGAACCCAGAUGCAUCCACACGGCAUGGGGGCAACAGCAAGCUGUGGCAGAAGAGAGGGUCUUGUGCAGAUAUGUUCUCCGGUCUCUGUCACAGCAGUUUUAGGAGAGGAAGACUAUGGAAAUCCAGUUAAAAACUGCAAAACCAGUAGGAUCUGGGCCAGGCUUAACCAAAGCAGAAAUAAAUCAGCUCAGCCACUGGUGUGUUUCAGUGCAUUUGGGCUAGAGGCGAUGUGGGCGACGGCUUGUGGUCCAGACCAGCAUGGUGCUUUUAGCUAUAUAUAAUUAGAUGUUUUUUCUACUGCAAACCAUUACUGACAGAUUGAAAGGGUUUUAUUCCACAGGAUUUUUCCUGCCUCGUCUGCCAGGGAACAAGCAGGCCUCACUCAAGCUCUGCUUCGUUGGUGUAAAUCACAGCAUGGGGCUACCUUAUCUCAGCCAGAGCCCCCGUGCAGGAAUGCUGCUCUGUCCAGCCCUCAGGCCACCCACCCCUGAUCCCGGGCUCCAGCAUCUGCUCCAGGCCCAAGCUCUGACCCUUCAGAGACAUAUUUUUGCAAGGUCAGGAGGUUGGGUGGUAAAAGGGGAGUGGAGAAUAGCAGGGGAACAUUGAAGGCUGGCUCUGCAAAGGGAUUUCAGGAGGAUGUUUACACUCGCCAUUAAAUGCAGGCUCGAGCCUGUUCUCUUCUCCAGAUUCACC